GAUAGCUCAGUUUGGUAGAGCAUCAGAUUUAGGUUCUGACGUCGAAGGUUCGAAUCCUUCUCCAUUGG
rnacentral:tRNA from 1 species